rnacentral:rRNA from 1 species
AUAAUGGGUCAGCGACUUAUAUUCUGUAGCAAGGUUAACCGAAUAGGGGAGCCGAAGGGAAACCGAGUCUUAACUGGGCGUUAAGUUGCAGGGUAUAGACCCGAAACCCGGUGAUCUAGCCAUGGGCAGGUUGAAGGUUGGGUAACACUAACUGGAGGACCGAACCGACUAAUGUUGAAAAAUUAGCGGAUGACUUGUGGCUGGGGGUGAAAGGCCAAUCAAACCGGGAGAUAGCUGGUUCUCCCCGAAAGCUAUUUAGGUAGCGCCUCGUGAAUUCAUCUCCGGGGGUAGAGCACUGUUUCGGCAAGGGGGUCAUCCCGACUUACCAACCCGAUGCAAACUGCGAAUACCGGAGAAUGUUAUCACGGGAGACACACGGCGGGUGCUAACGUCCGUCGUGAAGAGGGAAACAACCCAGACCGCCAGCUAAGGUCCCAAAGUCAUGGUUAAGUGGGAAACGAUGUGGGAAGGCCCAGACAGCCAGGAUGUUGGCUUAGAAGCAGCCAUCAUUUAAAGAAAGCGUAAUAGCUCACUGGUCGAGUCGGCCUGCGCGGAAGAUGUAACGGGGCUAAACCAUGCACCGAAGCUGCGGCAGCGACGCUGAUGCGUUGUUGGGUAGGGGAGCGUUCUGUAAGCCUGCGAAGGUGUGCUGUGAGGCAUGCUGGAGGUAUCAGAAGUGCGAAUGCUGACAUAAGUAACGAUAAAGCGGGUGAAAAGCCCGCUCGCCGGAAGACCAAGGGUUCCUGUCCAACGUUAAUCGGGGCAGGGUGAGUCGACCCCUAAGGCGAGGCCGAAAGGCGUAGUCGAUGGGAAACAGGUUAAUAUUCCUGUACUUGGUGUUACUGCGAAGGGGGGACGGAGAAGGCUAUGUUGGCCGGGCGACGGUUGUCCCGGUUUAAGCGUGUAGGCUGGUUUUCCAGGCAAAUCCGGAA